GCUAGGGGCCGGAUGUGUUUUUCGAGUGAAGCUGCCUCAAGACCCUGGUCCUUUUACGAGGAGUUUGCUUAUCAGCCGACAGUUUGAACCCAUCUCUGGGUUGUUCUGAGGCGUGCAACAGGUCGUGACAGUGUAAGCCUAAGCACACCGCAUGUCUCUUCUCUAGAGCUUCUGGAGUUGAAGGUCUGGAUGUGGGGGAGGUUUAAUCCUUAGCACCUCUUCCUUUCUGGGGAUUUGGAAGCCAUGAAGAUGUAGUUUAUAUGAGCAAAAUGUUCAAAGCAUUGGCUGGACUACCUCCGGGAAACAACAAGCGAAUAGGAAUUGUUAGAGGAAUGACAUGGGGAUGUCAUUUGUCUCCAUCUCCUGUCCCGUACUGUUAUUUGUUGCUGUCUAAACAAAUUUGCUGUUUUUGUUAAAUUUUUAAAUUGGGACACAAGGAAUGGAGUCCCGGUCCCUAAGUGUGACCCGUCACAUGCAACGUACAGCAACACUUGCUCGGGAGGUCCUAGAACGGGCCAAAACACGGAAAUUGCACUGGCCGCUGCCUACUGAACUGCAAAGAAGAACCUUUCAGCAGGAAGGGGCCAGUGAAGAUGCACACCUUGCUGCUGCUUUUGCUUCAGUUGCUGAACACUUAAGCCACAUCUCAGCCGAAUGUGAGAAUUACUAUUGCUGCGUGCCCCCCUUUCAGUUCAAAGAGCAUGAAGUUGCACAUAUUUUCAGAUAUCACAGCAGGCAAGCAUCUGAAAAUUUGCUGAAAGCAUUUAAAAAUGAGGAAUAUAAAACUGGUCCCAUUGUAGAAGAACCUGGAUGCCCUGAUACAGAAUCAUCUGCAUUAGUUCCAGUUAAGAAUGCUCAGCUGAAAAAUCCUGACCUGCAAGUUUUACAUGCAGGAUAUUUACAUUGAAGUUUCUCCGGGCAUCUACACAGUCUGCGCAUCAUCAUGUGAAGACACAGUCAGACAAACACAUCUUGUACAGAUCCAACCAGAAGAAAGUGUAAAUUUGACUUUUGAUUUAUGAUCUCAUCAUAAUCAAGGUGGGCGAUCUAUGGCAUCCUCAUGUAAGAUAGUAUUUGAAGAUUAUGAACUCCUUGGAACUGGAUCAUUGUGAGAGCUAUCCUGAGAAGGGCAGUGAAUAUUUCUGCCAUUAUUCUCUGAACCAUCACACAGGACAGACUGCAGAUGCCUUAUGUACUUAAUUGCUGCUCGGAGUGUUUCAACUUUGCUGAGCCGUUUCUCUAAGUAUUCAGCAGAUUCUUCAUUGGAAACAAAAAAGGCUAUGUGGAUACCUUAUUUAUUCAUCUGAACUAUGAUUUCAGAAGAUAUAGUUCCAGACUAUUCUUUGAACUACAAAAGAUAACUGGUAAUUUGACAAAAGGAACUUUUAACAAAUGGUGUUUGAAUCAUAUUAAAAAUGAAAAACUUACCCCAAGAUCUUCAUCACUUUGUAUUAGUUGUGAAUGUCCAAAGAGACGUCUCUUCAGAA